rnacentral:rRNA from 1 species
GCCUAACACAUGCAAGUCGAACGAAGAUUGUAGUAAUACGGUCUUAGUGGCGAACGGGUGAGUAACGCGUGGGUGACCUGCCCCGAAGUGUGGGAUACCAGUCCGAAAGGACUUGCUAAUACUGCAUAACAUCCAGGAGAUUAGAACCUGCUGGAUUAAAGGAUUUUUUCGCUUCGGGAGGGGCCUGCGUCCCAUCAGCUAGUUGGUAAGGUAAUGGCUUACCAAGGCGAUGACGGGUAGGGGACCUGAGAGGGUGACCCCCCACAAUGGAACUGAAACACGGUCCAUACACCUACGGGUGGCAGCAGUAGGGAAUAUUAGUAAUGGGCGAAAGCCUGAACUAGCAACGCCGCGUGUGCGAAGAAGGCCUUCGGGUUGUAAAGCACUUUUUGAGAGGACGAGGAAGGACGGUACUCUCAGAAUAAGUCUCGGCUAACUACGUGCCAGCAGCCGCGGUAAYAMGGCAAUUGUUUAACCUCAGGCNGNCCNUUG